rnacentral:rRNA from 2 species
CAAUGGGCGCAGCCUGAUGGAGCAACACCGCGUGAGUGAAGAAGGGUUUCGGCUCGUAAAGCUCUGUUGUUAAAGAAAACACGUAUGAGAUUAACUGUUCAUACGUUGACGGUAUUUAACCAGAAAGUCACGGCUAACUACGUGCCAGCAGCCGCGGUAAUACGUAGGUGGCAAGCGUUAUCCGGAUUUAUUGGGCGUAAAGAGAGUGCAGGCGGUUUUCUAAGUCUGAUGUGAAAGCCUUCGGCUUAACCGGAGAAGUGCAUCGGAAACUGGAUAACUUGAGUGCAGAAGAGGGUAGUGGAACUCCAUGUGUAGCGGUGGAAUGCGUAGAUAUAUGGAAGAACACCAGUGGCGAAGGCGGCUACCUGGUCUGCAACUGACGCUGAGACUCGAAAGCAUGGGUAGCGAACAGGAUUAGAUACCCUGGUAGUUCAUGCCGUAAACGAUGAGUGCUAGGUGUUGGAGGGUUUCCGCCCUUCAGUGCCGAGCUAACGCAUUAAGCACUCCGCCUGGGAGUACGACCGCAAGGUUGAAACUCAAAGGAAUUGACGGGGGCCCGCACAAGCGGUGGAGCAUGUGGUUUAAUUCGAAGCUACGCGA